ACGAACGCUGGCGGCAUGGAUUAGGCAUGCAAGUCGAACGGGUGUAGCAAUACACUAGUGGCGCAAGGGUGAGGAACACGUGAGUAAGCUGCCCUUUAGUUGGGAAUAACUCUACGAAAGUGGAGCUAAUACCGAAUGUGACCAGCACCUCGCAUGAGGAGCUGGUUAAAGAUUUAUUGCUAAAGGAUGUGCUCGCGUCCCAUUAGCUUGUUGGUGAGGUAACGGCUCACCAAGGCAAUGACGGGUAGGUGGUCUGAGAGGAUGGUCACCCACACUGGGACUGAGAACUGCCCAGACUCCUACGGGAGGCUGCAGUCGAGAAUCUUCCGCAAUGGGCGAAAGCCUGACGGAGCAAUGCCGCGUGCAGGAUGAAGGCCUUCGGGUCGUAAACUGCUGUCACCGGGGAUGAAUAAUGACAGUACCCGGGGAGGAAGUCACGGCUAACUACGU
rnacentral:rRNA from 1 species